rnacentral:rRNA from 1 species
GACGAACGCUGGCGGCGUGCCUAAUACAUGCAAGUAGAACGCUGAAGGAGGAGCUUGCUUCUCUGGAUGAGUUGCGAACGGGUGAGUAACGCGUAGGUAACCUGCCUGGUAGCGGGGGAUAACUAUUGGAAACGAUAGCUAAUACCGCAUAACAGUAGGUAUCGCAUGAUAUCUACUUGAAAGGUGCAAUUGCAUCACUACCAGAUGGACCUGCGUUGUAUUAGCUAGUUGGUGAGGUAACGGCUCACCAAGGCGACGAUACAUAGCCGACCUGAGAGGGUGAUCGGCCACACUGGGACUGAGACACGGCCCAGACUCCUACGGGAGGCAGCAGUAGGGAAUCUUCGGCAAUGGACGGAAGUCUGACCGAGCAACGCCGCGUGAGUGAAGAAGGUUUUCGGAUCGUAAAGCUCUGUUGUAAGAGAAGAACGAGUGUGAGAGUGGAAAGUUCACACUGUGACGGUAUCUUACCAGAAAGGGACGGCUAACUACGUG